GCCUUGGUGGUAAAGUGGUCAACAGUCCUGAUAAUUAGGAGGGCAUGGGUUCAAUCCCAUUUAAGGUA
rnacentral:tRNA from 1 species